AACUGAUACUACCUGCGGGAACCUGCGGAAGGAUCAUUACCAAGAGAAAUCUUUCAACACUGAAAGAUCUUUUCCUUUGUGCUGGCUUUGACCGUAUGUAAUUUUGGGACUUUAAAAUGGUUCGCAAGGGCCGGUCCCAAAAACAAUAUAUCAUCCUUAUGAAAUUUUUUCUGAACAAUUAAACAAAUGAUUUUAAUAAUCUGUUUAAAACAACUUUUAGCAAUGGAUCUCUAGAUCGGA
rnacentral:misc_RNA from 1 species